AUCAAACUUUAUCAACAACUGUUUCUCACUAGAACUGAACCUGUAACCAACAAAAAUGCCUUUCAUCACCAUAUUGAUCUGGACGCUGGCUGUAGUGUGUCGAGAAUCUUUUGGGCAGGUGACAGUGACUCAAACUCCCUCAGUGCUGCUCGCUCAGACUGGACAAUCAGUCACUGUAACCUGUACAUUUAACAGAGAUCCAGACUGCUGUUAUUACGGAAAACCUGCUCUCAGCUGGUACUUACAGAAACCUGGAGAAGCUCCUAAACUCCUGAUUUAUUAUACAACCCGUCUCCAGUCAGGAACUCCAUCUAGAUUCAGUGGCAGUGGAUCUAACAGUGAUUUCACUCUGACCAUCAGUGGAGUCCAGACUGAAGAUGCUGGACAUUAUUACUGUCAGAGUUACCACAGUGGUAAUGUGUUCACACAGUGAUAAAGCGUGGUACAAAAACCUGUGUCAGUCAGAGUCACAGUGACUGAACUGAUGCUGCAGCUGCUCAAACACUAUCACUCACUCAACAGAGCACAUGUUUAUAAAUA